rnacentral:ncRNA from 21 species
AUACAUAAAUUUUAGUAUAAAGUUUGUCAUUAAGACAAUAGGGAAUGAGGUGUAAAUCCUCAACGGUCCGGCCACUGUAAUUGGUGAGCUUAUUCCAAAAUGCCAUUGAGAAUAUUCUUGAGAAGGCGGAAGAAAGUGAUGAACCAAAAGUCAGGAUACCAUUUUUAAAUGUUUUUCAACAA